rnacentral:rRNA from 1 species
UACGAAGGGGGCUAGCGUUGCUCGGAAUCACUGGGCGUAAAGCGCACGUAGGCGGAUCUUUAAGUCAGGGGUGAAAUCCCGGAGCUCAACUCCGGAACUGCCUUUGAUACUGGAGACCUUGAGUCCGGGAGAGGUGAGUGGAACUGCGAGUGUAGAGGUGAAAUUCGUAGAUAUUCGCAAGAACACCAGUGGCGAAGGCGGCUCACUGGCCCGGUACUGACGCUGAGGUGCGAAAGCGUGGGGAGCAAACAGG